rnacentral:tRNA from 1 species
CAUUAAGUGGCUGAAAGUUAAGUAUUGGUCUCUUAAACCAAAAGAUAGUAUCUUACAAAUACUCUUAAUGA